rnacentral:lncRNA from 1 species
AAUUUCAGUAUCUAAACUCAAGUGUGAACACAAAUCUAAGUGUGAACACAAAUAUUAUAAAUAUUUAAUUGAAAGUAUUUUAACUAAACCAAUGAUUGAAUGACAACUGUGAGAAACGUUGUGAUGGGUUUCUCUUAGGUCAUCUACAUUGCAGGACCACCCCCUGAUCUAAGCCUUUUUUUAAUCCAAAAUAAUGGGUUUAUGGGCUUAAGAUCAGCAUGCCCGCUCUCAUCCUGGAUCAGUUCUUCUUUGUGUUGCGGGGUGACGUGGCGAGAUGGCAUUGGUUGGGAGAAAAGGGAUAAAUUUGGAUAAGACGAUGUUUAACGGUCCAUCUUCAGGCCUGAUCUUAGAGUUUAAUAAUAAUAAACUUUGUAAAAAGUGGGUUUAGAACACUUCUCAUGUUCUUGGGCUAGAACUGUUUUUGGGCUGAUCUUGUGGUGACGUGGCAUGGUCUGAUUCGUUGCGAUUUGUGAUAACGAAAAUCUUUCAAAUAUUUAAGUUUUUUUAACUUUGUAUUAAUUAAAUAAAAUGUUUGUAACCUUUAAUUAAUAUGUUUGAUUGUUUUUUUUGUUUUUCAUUUAUAUCUUUAAUGUUUUUUUUUUUUAAUAAUUAUUUGGAAUUGUAUUUUGUGUUUCUUUUUAUUUUCAAAUCAAUGUUAAUAUAAGUUUACUUUUUUAUGUUUUCAAUUUUAAAACUAAUUUUUUAAUUUUAUUAUACUUUAAAAUGUUUUGAUUAUUAAAUUAUUAAUUCAUAUGAUCUAAACAUGUUCUACGUACCAAUAAUCAAUUACUUUACAAAAGAUCUUAAUUAAAGCUAUUAUAAUAUUUUAAUAUUUUUUCUCCCUUAAGAUCAAUCUUUAAAGAUGCACCCUUGCAUAUGCCCUAAUAAACUAUGUAUUAAUUAGAUAAAAUGUUUUUGUGCUUUUAUUAAGUAAUAUGUUUGUUUGUUUAUUGUUAUUUAUAUUUUUAAUGUUUUUUUCAUAAAUAUUUAGUAUUGUGUUUUCACUUUUAUUUUCAGUUUUUAAAGUUUGCAAUUUAUAUGUUAUUUUUAAAUGUUUUAAUAAUUGUAAUAUGUUUUAAAAUUUGUAGAUUAUUAUAUUAUAUUAUUAAAUCUUAAGUUCUUACACAUGUUCUCCCACUAAUCAACUUCUAAACAAAAGAUCUAAACACAUGAUCUUACAUUAUUUUAACAUUAUAUUUUCUCUAAGAACACUCUCACAUGAUCCCCCAUUGAUGAUGCCAUUAAUAAGAAAUGUUUAUCUACCUCUCUCCUCUUUUUCAUAUUUUUUUCUUUAUUUUAUUGGUAAGAGAUGGUGUGAGAAACCAUCGUUGCUGUUGCUCUAAAGCUCGCUUUUUGUACAUGAAUCUAUCAAGUUGUGCUAAGAUGUCACUGCAUAUACGUUAGACCAAAAUACUAACUAAGCAUAUGAUACUUUCUAGGAAGUCACCAAUCUAUAUAAAAAAAAAAAGUCACCAAUCUAAAAUGAGUUUGGUUUAAAACACACUUCUUUCUAGAGUUUUUUUCAAGAUAUAUUACCAACAAAAAAAAUAAAGUGUGUGGAUAAUAGAAAUACUCAAAUAAAUUCCUAUCGAGAUUCACAUCUUAAGUAAUUUUGUUUAAUAUAUCUUGGAAUGUUAGAAAGGAGUUAGGCCUUGAAUGUUUUGUAGUUUUUGAAAGAGAUUUUAGUUUUUGUUUUUCAAAAACUGAUUUCACACCAAUCAAGUUUUUUAAAAUUUGGUUUCCUAUAAUUUAUGAAAACUUUUUUGUGGUGAUCUUCCAUUCAAGAUUUUAGAUUUUUAGUUCUCCUAUAAUUUAAAGAAUCUAGUUUUUACUCCAUCUACGUUAUUUUUCUCAAAAACCAAAAACCAUUUUUUUGGGGUUUCCAAAACAAAAUUCUAAUUACAAAAUCUAAAAUUAAAAUCUAAAACCCAAAAACUAAAAACAAAAUCCAGAAACCAAAAUCAAAAACAACAUCCAUUCAUGACCUUAAUGUCAAUUGUCAUGAUUAACUUUUUGGUUAUUGUGAACGGUUAGGAGUGAUUUGUCGCAACAUAGGAGAUCGUGUGAUGUUGCAAUCUCUCCAAGACAGACAGCUUCACGCAUCCACAAUAUAUAACAUGCCCUCUGGUCCGUUUUUAAAUGUGUCCAUAUCGGUUUCUUUAUCUUUAGAACUAACAUUUUGGAAAAUUAGUCCAUUCACUAUUUUAUAUUCCAACUUGUAUCAUGUUUGUAGUUGAAAAUGCGCCACUAGUUUGUAUGUGAACUAAACGAAAAUAUCAUCGAUCGGUUCAUGAACAUACAUGUAAUCGUGUUCUGCAACUCCAACCAAAAAAUACUAAUUAAGUUACAAUUUUGAAAUAUUGACGGAUAAGGCUCAUAUAGUAUUUGGUCAAUUGACCUUUUAUUUGACGAAUAGCUUAGUCAAACACAAUCAAAGUUAAAAAGAAUUUGGUUAUUUUUCUUAAAUGAGAUACGAGAUAAAUUACUUGAAUGAAAAUUAUGAAAAUGUGUGACAAUUCACAAGUCGAAUAUAGACCGUACGUACGUAGAUAUGUGGGAUUAAUGUAUUCCACAAAAUCUGCAGUUUCCAAGUAGCCUUGCAAGUUGCAACGUUUAUUUCCCUUCGCUUAAACAUUUAAGUCAUUUUCUUCAUUGGUCGGUAUACGCAUUCGCCGAAAUUAAAAGGUACUAUGUACGUAGUCACCGACCGCACUAGUGGACUAAAAGGAAAAAGAAAAUAUCGGAAAAUUUUUUGGAAAUAGCCAUAGUUAUAAAUUCUCCGACUCACACAGUAGCUUACCAACAACACACCACAGUCUCUUUCUUUUUAUAUCUUUCCUACAAAACAACAUCGUACAAUGGGAGAUGCGGCGGAGCAAGCACGUGGUUUCCACGUGACCACCACAAGGAAGCAGGUUGUCACGGCUGCAAGACAAUUGGCUUCCUCUUUCAAACCUCGAUCUCCUCCUCCCUCCUGUCCACAUCAGCGUUUGCUUCUGCUACAAGAAACCUCAUCAUUUCUUAUCAGUGGCUGAAACCCUAAAAGCUUCCUUGGCUGAGGCUCUCGUCUCCUACUACGCCUUUGCUGGCGAACUCGUGAAAAACUACGUCGGAGAACCAGAGAUUCUCUGCAAUAACCGUGGCGUGGACUUCCUUGAGGCGCUUGCUGAUGUGGAGCUCCGAGAGCUUAACUUGCAUGAUCCUGAUGAAAGUAUCGCCAAGCUUGUUCCGAAGAAGAAGCAUGGAGUCCUAGCUAUUCAGGUAACAUAACACUGAAAUCAUACUUUCAUCGAUUCAGCAUCAGACACAUAUUGUUGCAACGACAUAACUCUCCUUUAUGUCUAGUUAGGUCACUCAACUUAAAUGUGAGAGCAUAGUGGUUGGAUGCACAUUUGAUCAUCAGAUAGCAGAUGCUUUCUCCAUGAACAUGUUCCUUGUUUCUUGGGCUGAGAUCUCUCGAUCCGAUGUACCGAUCUCUUCUGUCCCAUCGUUCCGGAGAUCAAUGCUGAACCCGCGACGACCUUUGAUUAUCGACUCAUCUAUAGACAAGAUGUAUAUGCCUGCCACGUCUUUGCCCCUUCCACAAGAAACCACCAAUGACCCAGAUAAUAUUCUCACAAGCCGUAUCUACUACAUCAAAGGAAAUGCGUUGGAAGAUCUCCAACGUCUUGCAAGCAGCAGCUCCUCCAAGAAUGGUUAUAGUCAGAGGACAAAACUCGAGUCGUUCAGCGCGUUUCUAUGGAAACUGGUGGCGAAACACGCAUGAAGAGAACUAGUAUCGAACAAGAAAUCGAAAAUAGGCAUCGUCGUUGAUGGAAGGAGAAGACUUAUGGAGAAGGAAAACAGCACUUACUUUGGAAACGUUCUUUCCAUCCCAUUUGGUGGGCACAGUAUCAAUGACUUGAUUGACAAGCCAUUGUCUUGGUUGAGCAACGAAGUUCACAAAUUCUUGGAAGAAGCAGUGACAAAAGAUCAUUUCUUAAACUUGAUCGAUUGGGUUGAGAUUCACCGCCCGAUACCGGCAGUGUCGAGGAUCUAUAGUACCGGAGCCAACGAUGGACCCGCUUUUGUGGUUUCUUCCGGGUUUCCGGUGACCAAGGUGGAUUUCGGUUGGGGCUUACCGGUUUUUGGGUCCUACCAUUUCCCAUGGGAAGGCAGCGCCGGAUAUGUGAUGCCAAUGCCGAGUCCCGUGGACGACGGGGACGGAGAUUGGGUGGUUUACUUGUAUCUUACGAAAGGACAGUUAAAGUUCAUUGAAGAGGAGGUUGCCCAUGUGCUUAAACCCAUAGACAAUGACUAUCUCAAGAUUAACACCAUCUUUUAAGUAAAACCCUCAUCUUUUUUUAGUUAAUGUGUAAGUUACACUGAUGCCAUCAAGAGUAUGAUGUGGCUUCAUCUUUAUGUGAGAUUGAUACCUUGAAGGUUUUCAAGAUUUGCUAUUAACCUCAGGAAAUCAUUUUUAAUCUCCUCAAUCAACAUAUUGUCACUCAUCUUGUAGCCCUAUACAGAACUGGCCUUUGGGCCAAAGAGAGCUUAUCAAAAAACUUUGCAAAAGUUACGUUGGUCUAGUAAUUUAUUUACUGAAGAUUUAUCAUCAUCAUCUUCGAGUUCGAAACUUCAGUAUGGCUUUAUUAAUGUUCUUUUUCAUUUUUCAACAAAAUAAUAAAUUAAACAAAAAUGAUGCGGCCCAUUUGUUCCUCAUGUUUGUGGUCUUACAAAAUUCAGGGUCGACACUGGCACUAUAGCCUUUGUUUCUGUUGAGGAUUCUUCGCCGACCUUAGACAGCCCUCAAGCUUUAUGCUAUGUCACACACACACCAAACAUCAUAACAGACCAAGCAAUAUAGAGAGAAAGAAGAAGAUAAAACAGAGCAGAGAAGAGGGAAGAAGAGAAGCACACAAACGAUUGUUCACCCUGAGUUCACCAAGUUGGCUACAUCUCAGGGGAGGGAGACUGUCCCCCAACUGCAUCCACUAAUAGAAGAAGAUAACAGAGAUUACAAGUGAUUCACUCUCAAGACUCACUCGUCGGCCACUCUCUGUUCUACUUGAGAAAAUCCCACCCAAAGCUUAAGCCUUUACAUGUUUUCUCUCACCCUUCUAUCUCCUAGAGCUACAUUGUGUCUAUCUUCUUGUGGCUUCCUAUCUCUCAUGUCUUCAUAUCACUUUAUAUAUGGGAGACAACCUCAAACCCUAGUGCAGCUAGCAAACGAGUCCUCAUCUUAUUCACAAGAGGACAAAGUAUCCUUCUUGACCAUGAAUUCAAAUGAUCCUCCUUGUGGUCCCAAAAGCUCUUCUAACUUUAGUUAAUAUAAUCAACCUUGGUUAGGACUUGAGUUUACCUUUGGUUUGCACAUGAUCCUUGUUUGGUUGCUCAUCAAGUUCUCAUAUCUUCACAAAUCUCCACCUGAGAACAUGAUGAUCAAAACCAAGCAACCUGCACAAACUUGAGAGAGUACCUUCUUCUACUUUCUUGGAUCCCAAUCUCGGCUCUUGAGUAUCAUUACUCUGCCUUGAUACUUAGCAGUUUAAAAUGCCAUAAACUUGCUUGAUCCUCGCUGCAUUUAGCUUACGUUCAAUGCACUUCAGCUGUGACUACUCACAUUGCUGAACCUGAGCCAUCAACACAUCCUUAGAUCACCAGAGUUGUGAAAACCAGCUUCAUACAAACUUGUAUUAAGCUCAACUCUUCAGUGAUCACUUCAUGAUACAUUCAACACUUGAAUUAUGAUGUUACCACUCAGCAAAAAUUUAUUAACAAGUCAAGAAAACACCUCCAGCUUGUCAAUCUCAACAGAAAACUCCAUAAGCUCCACCACCUAUGAGCUGUUCAAUCACACAUUCUCCACCACGGCUUCUGUUAAUGCCAUAAGCAUGUUACAGUGAUUGAAGUACCACUUAUCCCUCUGCAAAACCUGAUUCCCUUGCUAAAGCUUCUAGGAUUUACUCAUGCGCAUUGAGAUCAAAAUCCUUUGAAUUCACUUGAAUCAAUUGCAGAAAACUGAAUCAACUUAGCCUCAGACUUGAAGCUCUUGAUUCACCAGGUGAACAGCCUCACCAACCAGCUAAAUAUACACUAUAUAGCUAUAGACUGAACCUUUCACCUCCUGUUUAAACAACCCAGUCUUGAACAUAAACCUUGAUCAAACUCUCUGUUAAAACAGAACCACCACCAGCAGAUUUUAACCACUACUAGUUAUCUUUACACCUGUCUCAUAUCAGCAAAACCUUGUGAUAUCCCUGAGACAAACAUGUACAGCUACUUCUGCACCAAAUCUAGAACCCUUGGUGCCCUUCCAGUUGUAACCACAGACCUGCAAAACCUGCAGAACUCCACCAAACGACUUGAACCUUACCUCAUUCAAUUUCAAGACUUAAGCCAAAGCCUUUCCCUUCUUUAUCAUCAAUACUUGAAGAUACUUUACUUGAAUGACCUGCAAGCGUCUGGUCAAAUGCAAUUUGAAUUUCCUGCAUUUGCGUCUCUUCUAAGACUCCAUUUCAGUUGCUAACACCAGCCUUGAGAUGAGUUGUUUAUCAAGCUUGAUACACAACACUUUCACAGUCUUGAAGUGAAUAGCCUUGAGACAGCUCCUGCAACACUUGCAAUUGUCUCUUUCAGUUUCCUCCUUAGAGAAUUCCCCUGAACCACUUCAUUUUCUUCAUCUCACACCUUAGUGUCUUCUCUGAAAUUUUCAGAAAAAAACCUGCAACUCACUUUCAGAAAAUCCACAGUUCACAACUUGAAACCUGCAACUUGUUUCUGAAAUCCUUACCAAUCAGCCAGCUUCAAACCAAAUAUGUAAGACCCUUUUUUUACCUUCAGAUUAUAACCCAAUCUGAGCUGAACACCUGUUGAUAACCACCUGUUCUUGGCUUUCCCUUCUUCUUGAUACAAUGAACUUCCAUGAACCUUAAACAACAGUGAUAUCCAGCCUUUUAACUCCAUGCUACUGAGCUAAACACCCAGACAACCUCCACAAAUAGCUCCACCAGGAACCAUAACCAUUUGAGUUACAAUGUCUAUGUAAGCUCAGCCUCACUUCUCUGAGUUAAACUGUUCUUCUGUUCACUCACACUUUCUUAUGUAUUAGAGUGAGUUCCCAUGGCCUCUUUCUUGAGAAAACCGUACUAUAACUUGUAGCACAUCUUCUUCUUCAUGUAACCACUCCAUCUUAUUCAUAUGUACCCAAAGAACCACCAAGAACCUUCUUUUAUUUCCAGCAGCCUUGUCAUCUCUACUUGGAGCAUUCUUCAUAAUCUAAUAGUGCAACAACUUAAGCUGAUACGCCAUCAAAUCAUACCUCCAUCCUAGAAAACCAAAUCUUGUACUCUUCUUUAGCAAAAUCAACAUAUACAUAUCUUGCAUCGCUGUUCAAAUGAAUAGAACACGCCGCCUAACUCUCCUAGCUAGGAAGAAUUUCGACACGAGAAAAUAAUACGGUCAAUUGCGUACCAUCAUAUACUUCUUUUGUCGCUUGAAGAUCUGAUUCAAAACACAAGAUAACCACUGAGAAUUAAAUGCUCCACCCGAGAUAAGAACUCCUUGUUCUCUUACAUUCAUUCCAACAGAAUCAUCAUGUGUUAUACCAAACACAAAUCUGUAGAAUUUAUGAAUCUUUGCUACUGCCAUCUUGUCUCGAAAACAAGAACUCUUACGCUAUCCAGCUUACACCAAACAGUAGAUUUCCGGAGCCACACUGCAUUCCCUCUGAAAAUAGCAGCCUUGUAGCUUCACGAUCUCUAAAGAUCCACCAACUGAAGACUUUUAGAUUCACAAGAAUCUAACCAUUACCACUGAGACAGAACUCUGCAACAAAUCAUCACCCAAACUCAACCAACCACUGAAGUCUUGUCUUUAGAACUGAAUCCAGAAAACCCUUUUACAAAUACCCCACAGCCUAAUACUCAUAAAAAUUUCCAAGCUUCUAAGGCGUCCCUCAGUCCCAUGGAAUUCUAUGAGUUUCCGAGGCUGUGGUAACACUAGUAUUCGAAUACCAACUGUAAAAGACUGUACCAACCAGAUUCAAAACUCCAUGAAAAAACCAGCAUGAAACCCAAUACUGAAUCUUUUCAAUCUCUUGCGAUAACAGUGGAACGAGACUUGAAGCCUCCAAAUUUUGAGUCUUGAGAAAUAAGAAUGAUUCUGAUCCAAAGAUUGUAGUCAAAGAAAUCCGACUUACACGUUUCAAGGAUCUUAAUCAAACUUCAGCCGAUGAUGUUACUGUCUCUCUUCCUUUCCAAACAAGAGUAAACGAAGACACAAACUUGUGGCAUCGUCUUUCUUACUCACUGUAACCUCCAAUUUCUUUACAGAAAAUCAGAAUUUCUGGAUUUACCGGAAGAUAUCCGAGCCUUGCAAGCUCCAGUCUUCAAAUUUCUUUAGCUAAUUUGAGCUCCUUUCUUCUCGAGAACACUUUCUUCUUCAAUCGUCACUUCCUCCUCCGACGAGAAUCUCGAUAUGGUUUACCGAUCCAUCUUCGACUUCAUCGCCGAACCUAAUCGCUCCCAGUCAUAAAACCUCAACUUACGAUUUGACGAUUGCUUAUGUCGUGACUGUCUCUUAGCUUCAGCUUCAACACUUCCGAGAAAGAAGCAUCAAGAGAAACGUACCAUUGUUUCUCUUUCUGACUUUUGGGCAUUUAUGAACUUAGCCCAAAAAACAAAAUAUUCAUUAAUGGGAGGACAGGCCCAUCUUGGCCCAACUGAAGAAAGAAAAAAGAAUUUGUCGUGACCCAUCUUUUCUCUUCUUCUCACCGUCGCUCACCAUCAAACUUUCUCCGGUGAGAAUCUCGGUGCUCUCCGGUGACGCCUUGGUCACCACACCUCCGCGACUCUCUCUCACCGCGUGUCUCUUCCUCGACAGCGAAACCCGAAGCUUCUUCUCCGACUCGUUCUGCUUAUGACAGUGCCGUCUGCUCUUUCACGACGUCAUCGGAAGCUCGAGCCACUCCACCGUAAUCUCAGCCUUCUCCGGUAAGAAUCUCCACACUGUCUCUGUCAUCGAACUCUCUGAGAAUCACCUGAGCUCGUGACAAACAUCCUCUGUUAGCAUCCGAGAUUUCAACAGAAAUCUCUAUCUUCCUCCAUCUUCUCUCUCAAUGCUUCAGCAGAUCUAGUUCUUCUUAGAUGGACAAGACACGCCGUCUUCUUAUGAGAUAUAAUCUCUAAAUCCAUCGUUCUUCUCUAGAGCUGCACUUCCCGAAGCCAUUGCUUAUAAAGGUGUGAUCUUUCUUGACAAAGCUUACAUUUUCCUUGUAAAGCUUGAAUCUUUCUCACCGAAACUUGAAGAUUCUGGAUAAAGCUUGAGUCUUUCAGCACUAACCUGUGCUCUGAUACCAUUUGUUAAGGAUUCUUCGCCGACCUUAGACAGCCCUCAAGCUUUAUGCUAUGUCACACACACACCAAACAUCAUAACAGACCAAGCAAUAUAGAGAGAAAGAAGAAGAUAAAACAGAGCAGAGAAGAGGGAAGAAGAGAAGCACACAAACGAUUGUUCACCCUGAGUUCACCAAGUUGGCUACAUCUCAGGGGAGGGAGACUGUCCCCCAACUGCAUCCACUAAUAGAAGAAGAUAACAGAGAUUACAAGUGAUUCACUCUCAAGACUCACUCGUCGGCCACUCUCUGUUCUACUUGAGAAAAUCCCACCCAAAGCUUAAGCCUUUACAUGUUUUCUCUCACCCUUCUAUCUCCUAGAGCUACAUUGUGUCUAUCUUCUUGUGGCUUCCUAUCUCUCAUGUCUUCAUAUCACUUUAUAUAUGGGAGACAACCUCAAACCCUAGUGCAGCUAGCAAACGAGUCCUCAUCUUAUUCACAAGAGGACAAAGUAUCCUUCUUGACCAUGAAUUCAAAUGAUCCUCCUUGUGGUCCCAAAAGCUCUUCUAACUUUAGUUAAUAUAAUCAACCUUGGUUAGGACUUGAGUUUACCUUUGGUUUGCACAUGAUCCUUGUUUGGUUGCUCAUCAAGUUCUCAUAUCUUCACAGUUUCAAUUAUGUUCGAUUAGGUAGAGACUUUGCCAUAAACAGUUGAUCCAAAACCUUGAACAUACCUAAGGUUGGCUUAUCCUUUAUGAUUUUUUUUAUGAAGUUGCACUCCAAAACUUAAUAUGAUGGUAACUCUAGACUUUCAUUGCUUCUUCUUUAGAGCUUAAUUUGUCUUCUUUUUUUACUUGAUGUGUCCCUUGUCAUGUCUUAGCCAUCUAGAGUCUUCUGAGUUAACUCUUUGCUUUGUCUUGCGUUUAAUUUUUUUUUCUCUUUUCUUGUACGUAUGGUUUGUUUUACUUGGAGAGUUUCUUGCACUUAAGACGAAAAAUUACAAGAUACUUGCAUACCAACUCUAGAUCUAGAGGACUUUUCCACAAGCUUAACCGCCAAUUGUGUUUAAAGGAUUUUUUUGCGGUUAGGAAUUUCUUACGGACAUGAUUUUGGCGGAGCGGGUAAAAAGCUCGGUUUAACAUCCCUAAUAACUAAUAUUGGUGAUCGAUCAACAAAAGUUAUGUAUCAAUAUUUGGCUUAGCUGAAAGUCUACUAGUAUAUCAGAAAAACUAAACACAAAAACACCAAAAUCCAUACACAACAUGCGUUAAGCCGUUAACAUGUUUGGUCGAGUCAAAUGAUCAAAUAGCACCAUCCUUCUCUGUCACGCCUAAAUGUGCGGAUACCAAUAAACAUAUUUAAAAAAUACUUACAUGGAUGAAUCAAAAACGUUUGAACAAUGGCCCAACGUUCAAUAAACUUUUUUUAAGUUUUCGAGGUUUUUAAAAGACGCAAAGAAUUUUAGAGUCUUACUAUUAGUUAUUACGACAUGGUCACAUGUCUAAACAUGAGAAGGAAAAGCCAUGUGAAUGGGACCCCUCCUACUUGGAAAACAGAAGGCAACAAUAUAAGAUUCAAUUCAAUACCGACCUUCCAAUUUCAUUGUCUAUCUUCAAUUCAAUUCAACCCAACUUGGACCCCAAGAUCAGCUUCUCCAUCUUUUAGCGCGUGUCAUCCACGCUCCAACAUACAUUUAUCUCUAUUUUUAGGCAUGGGCAAUUAUAACGAUUCGGACAGAAUCGGAAUUUCGGUAAUUUGGUAUGGUUCGGUUUUGGUUCAGCAUAAAAACCGAUCAGAAUUUGAAAAAUUUGGUAACCGGUUUGGUUUUGUAACUGAUUUUUUUUUUUUUUAUAAUUUUUCCAUAAUUUUCAGAAUUUGUCAUCUAUAGAAAUGUACCAAAAUAUAGAAGUAUACCAAAACAAACCGUUUUGGUUUCAAUUUGGAAUCCAUAAUUUUUUUACGUUCACCGAGUCAAAGUUUAUCACUUCCAAAUCAAACCGAAUAGAACCGAUCUAAAAUUCGAUUUUGACUAAAAAUUUGGGAUAAGAGCCAGUGGAAGAAAUGCCUUAAAAAAUGUAAGGAAUUUUUGAACCGAACCGGACCAAACUUAGCGAAUAGCCAAAUCGUGUUGUAUGUGAGAAAAAAAUAUUUUUAAAUGAAAAAGCCACCGCUAAUUCUUUUGAAAGAUUCAACUUGAUAGAUUACACGUAAAGAAACGAAUUCUAAAAACUUUGUUGGAUUGAUUCUCUUCUAGAACCUUCAAAACUUUCGGUGAUAUGUCAAUAUUUUUAAGAUUACCGUUAAAUACGGAAAAAAAAAAACAUAUGAAUUACUUGUACAUGACUCUAUCAUGCGAGUGAGUAUCUGACAUUUCCUAUCUCCUAAGUUUAGCAAAUUGUCAUGACUUUCACGCUAACGAAAAAGAUCUAAACUUUUUUUUUUGUCAUCCGAAAUUAAUUAAAAUUCAAAAGAGCCAUUCCUGAAAAAUGUUGUUUACAUAUGUGAUAUGUUGCAGUUCUGUACGAACUUUUCGUGCCAGAUUAUCCGCUUUUACAUUAGCGCUACGAGAAAUUAAAGAUAAAAAAAAGGUAGAGAAUUCUUUCUUGUCACUCUGAAAUUCCUCCAAAUACACUGAAAACGCCGGCCAUUCGGUUGGAGAAGACACCAUCUUCACCAGGUCAGAACAGUCUGUAAAGAACGCUACCUCUUGAUUAUCUGCACCAAUCAUGCACUUCAUCGCCCAGAGAAGGGCCUCGGCUUCUGUAUGUAGGGGAGAUAGACUUCUACGGAGGUUGGCAGCUCCCAUGGUUGGCGGUUCUCCACUUGAUGAUGUACAGAACCAUCCUAUACCGGAGAACUUAUCACUUCCUUUCCAUGAUCCAUCCACAAAACAACGGUACCCCGAAUGAGUCGAAUCAAGUGAAGCAUCCCUUACUCGAGAUCGAGUUACCAAAUCCACAGAACCCUGAUUUUCGUUAAUAAGCUCGAUUUGAGCUGCAUGCCACAAUUGUGCCUCUUUUUCCGCUAACCGUAAUACCUCUAGUGGAUCAUUGUCUAUAUUUUCAAAUAUUUUCUCAUUCCUUGCUUUCCAAAUAUACCAGAUAAUCCAUGGAAAAACUGAGCAAUCAAAUUCCGAAGGUAUUCUCCAAAAUAAAUGAUCCAAGUUCGCAAAAAUAGAUUAUGUGGGAAAAAAACCCAUACCCGUGGGAAUCUGUGAAAGCGCCCAAAUCUGUCGUGCCGGGUGGCACUAGAAGAGUGUGUGAUUAAUUGUUUCCUCUAGUGCACCACAUCUGGCACAACCUGUAUCACAGUCAAUUCCUCGUUUCCGCAAAUUUUCCGUAACCGGUACACAACCCGAUUUAACAGUAUACUUUCCUGAUUUUGUAAAAUGUCAACCCAUAGUAUCUUCCUUAGUUAGCGCACCCACAUGUAGGGCACUUAUUAUCUCGACAUCUUCUGGAGCAAAGGUCGCCUGUAAGAGAUCAAUAUUCUAAAAGUUUGACCGACUAUCUAUAAGAUUGAUAACUUUUAAAGAUGGAUCAACAAUGGACCCAUUACUUUUUGCUGGUCUCGGGAAUUGAGCUGGAAUCCAGGGAUCCUCCCAAACUGAGAUGGAUGACCCAGAUCCGACUCUUUUAAUAAGUCUUUUAUUAACCAGAGAUCUAGCUGAACAUAUACUCCGCCAUCCAUAUGAUGGAGAGUACGAUUUUAUAUUUUCCAAAUGAUUGGAUUUCCGAAAAUACCGCCCUUUAAAAAACUUUGCGAAAAGAGAAUCUGGAACCGUAAUCAACCGCCAUAAUUGUUUUGCCAAUAAAGCAGAAUUAAAAUCGUCUACAUUCCGAAAUCCUAACCCCCUUCCGAUUUACUGUUAGACAAUUUAUUCCGAAAAAGACCUAAACAAGAAGAAAAAAAAAAGGAAAAAAAAAAUCUAAGCGCGUGGUAUCUCACGCGCCAAAGAAGCAACUUGGAAAUUGGAAAAAGCCACUCAAAUUCUUCACGCUUUCCUUUAUUCAACACGGUCUCUUUGCAUAUAUAAACAAAACCUUCUUCGUCAUUCUAAAUAAAACACAUAAAAAUCUUUCUAAAGUUCGAAACAUCUCUCUCUCUCUCUUUCUCUCUCAAAAGAUUUCAAAGUCUCUUCUCUUAUUUUUUAUUCGAUAAUGAAUUCUAUGUUUAGUGCCUUCGACGCUCUCUUCGCAGAACUCAUGGGAAAGAACCUUAUGGCUUCUCCGUUUAAUGCUACUACCGCCACGGCCAAACCAGCCGCCACACCGCAAACGCAAACGCAAACGCAGAAGAAGGAAAACGCAAGUAUCAAGAAGGUUGGUUUGGUGCAGAAGACUCCGAGGUUUGCUUUGGAGCUUGAUGGUCUUCACUGCUUUGAAACAAUAGUCCGUUCUUGAUUUGAUUUGUUCUUGGUUCUUGGUUUCAAGAUCAGAAACUUAGAAUCUGAGUUUCUUGUUAUUUUUUUUUAUUGUAUUAAUUCAUUAUAACAUGUGAUUGUGAAUACGUUUUGGAUUAUUGAUCGAUUUGAUCCGGUUAUAUAUACUACUUCUUGAUUCUCAGAUUUGUGUUCAAUUUCUCCGGUUCUGGCUAAGAUUGCUCAAACUUCUUUUUUGGAAAUAUAUCAAAUCAGACAAGUUAUAUUCUGAAAAUCGACUUCAAAGUAAACAAUUAAAAAGAUCUUAAUAUGUUUAAAUUUAAGAACCUAUUAACAUGAAUUGAGAGUUUGAAGUUUAAAGCAAAAGGAGAAAAAAAAAAAAAAAGUGAAGUUUGAACCAAACCAAAAGCGAGAUUAGGCUACCCUACUUGAUGAAGUGGCGUAGUUAAAGUUCAUGAUUAUUUGAUUUCUCUUUAAAAGAUAAUUAAAUAAAUUGACCUUUAAUCAAAUGGUUGAGGCGGUUGAAACGAACAAAUCCGUUUGCAAAUUAGAUCUUUUUUCUAUGCAAGUAAGGGUAUGGCGAAAGAGGUUAUGGCAGCACAUUUGGCUUUAUCAGAGAGGAAUGGUCAAAUCGUGAGGGAGGAAAGACUAAUUCGGUGGAUUCAUCCGAGAGAUGACUGGGUAAAACAGAAUACGGACGGUGCUUUCUGAGGGAAUCCGGGGCUAGCGUCUGCAGGUGGUGUACUGCAGGAUGGUACGAGGAGUUGGUAUAGUAGGUUUGCGCUGAAUAUUGGGAUUUGCUCCGCCCCACUAGCAGAAUAAUGGGAAGUAUACUAUGAGUUAUAUAUUGCAUGGGAGAGGAGGGUGACACGGUUGGUUGGAGUUGGAGGUUGAUUCAGAGAUAGUGGUUGGUUUUUUAGUUCGGAGAUUAAUGAAACACACCCGCUGUCAUUCCUAGUAUGUUUGUGCUAUAGCUUCUUAUCACGGGAUUGGAUUGUCCGUGUUUCUCAUGUGUAUAGGGAAGCUAAUCGUCUUACCGACGGUUUAGCCAACUAUGCGUUCUCCCUACCAUUGGGAUUUCAUAUGUUGACAGCUAUGCCUGAUGUGGUACGUCCGAUAGUGUUAAAAGAUGCUCAAGGAAUGGCGAUAGCUCGAGAGAUCCGGGUGUAGCGUCGAUUUUUCUAGUUUGUUUCUGUUUUUUUUUAUUUAGUUCUUUUUUUCUAGUUUGUUGUGGGAGAUUUGUCUCCUCUUUCCUUACCAAAAAAAAAUUAGAUCUUGUUUUAUUUAUCAUCACUCAUAAAUUACAGAUAAAAAAACAAAACAAAAUUAUGUAAAUUAAUUACAGACCAUUUUUAUUUAAAAAUAAAUUUAGUCGGCUACGAAUUAUUAUCUAUUCUAAUCAUAAAAUGGUUUAGUCCAUUAACGAUAUAGUGUAUUUUAUCCCCAACAUCCAUUCAAAGCUUAAACAAACAAAUUAGCAAGAUGGUGGAACCAUUUUUUUGGAUGCUUUUCUUUUUGUAUUUAAUUUAACAUUAUAUUACAAUUCCUGACAUAAAUAGGUUCAGUUUUGCCAAGGUGCUGGUGGUUGGAUAUAUAUGGUAUGAACAUGAAAAUAUUUUUGAACAGAACAAAAAAUGAACUAUUCAAACAAAACCUAAUUGUAAAAACCAUCACCAGAUCAAAUAAUCAGAAUUCACACUUUCAAUUUCAAUGAUGAAUCCUACAAGCAUGUAUCGAGCUAAAGAAAUAAUAGAUAAUUUAAAGCUUGUAGUUGAAAUUUCACCAAAUAUUGUGGUUGAAUAACUUGAAAUAUAUGGUUUAUUCUACUAAUUGGUAAAGAUAAUAGGCGAAGCUUAUAAGUUAUUGGUUCGAAUGACGUUUGGGGCAAAACUAAUAUUACAUGCAGUGGUUUCGAAUCUGGAGAAAUACGGGAUUUGGUCCAAAAAAUUUUGAUAUUAAAAAAAAAAUAGAGAAUUACAUGGUUUAUUAGACUAUUAUAAGUUUUUUUAAAAAAAGUUUAAUUCGUUAAUAGUUAGUUUUAAAAAGUUUAAUUCGUAUUAGCUACCUAAUUCUAACGGUAAGACUUUUGAUUUGUAAAGUCAAUAAUAGUGCUCUUUUUUUUUUUUUUGGUUUGACAUCGAGUCAAUAAUAGUGUUCUCAAAAUAGUUGUUAUUGAACUGCAUUUGUUUCACACUAGAAAACAAAGGAACAUAAAUCAAAAGUCAAUGUUCUUAUAAACAUUUUCGGCAGUACUAUAAAAAGCUAUCGAAAGACACUUCUAGACUUAUAGUCACUAUUCACCCACGAAGAUUUUUGUGCCUGGUUUCGCUCUAAUUCAUUUUCAUGAUGGAGAUGGCAUGAUGGUGUUUGUUGCUUUGCUCUUUUUCGGAUUGAUCAUGCUCUCUGUUCUGUUGUGUUGUUGCUGUUUGAGCCUUCAGUUUCGUUUUUCUUCGGGAUUGCCGGUCUAUUGGAGUUUGCCUGUUUGGUUGGCUCUUCUGAGGCUCAUGUUUCUUGGUUUCAGCUCUGACGCCAACCGUUACUCUUGGAUUGUUUGCGGGUUUUGAUGGUUUCGAAUCUCAGAUUUAGGUCUUUGGUUCCUUUUGAGCUUACCUUCUUGUAUUUUUUUGCUUAUAGUUUGCUUCUCUCUUUUGGGUUUAGUUUUCCGGGGAUAUUUAUGUUUUCCGCCGGUUAGUUUCCGAAGAGUUUCGACUCUUGUCGGUCUUGUAUUUCAAAACCGUAUUCUACCUCGGUAUAAUAUAAUGGAAUCAUUAAGAUGAAAAAAAGACUUAUAAUCACUAUUCAAGAGAGUGAUGUAAUUGCAAGAUAUUGCGUAAAGCAGUUGUUUAUGAGAAAAAACACUAUAUGAUAUUGAAAAAAAAAAAAAAACACUGAUAUUUGGAGAGUUCUUUUUUUUUGUCUGAAAUUUUUUUAUAGAAACACAUAUGAAUUACAAAAGUGAAAUACAAAGCUGGAGUAACAAAUAACCCAAAAACUUAAACCAACGAUAAAAAGAGAUAUUUUGAGGUUUAGGUAGUUGGUUUUCUUUAGUGCUAUAACUAUAUAUUAUGUUGCAAUUAUGGAGAAUAUAUUGUAAUUGUGUGACUACUUUUGCAACUAAAUUUUUUAACUUCAACGGCAGUAGCUAAUUUAUCUCAAUUUGUAAUUAUUUUGUGAAUACAAAUAAAAACUCGAUUAUUAGUCUUAAAAUAGUUUCGAAUUAGAGACUAUUCACCCACGAAGAUCUCCUGUCGUUUUUCUACAAUAUUUUUAGCUUUUAAAAACUCUGUUAUCGUUUAUUUGUCGUAAAAUAGUCACACUAGAUCGUAUAUAACGCAUGUUUACUUGUCCCCUUAAAGAAAUUGGUUUACCCUUUGUUUUUUUUACCUUGCCCGGUACUUUUUUUAGAUUUAAAUUUAUUUUGAUUCUUUUUACAAACCAAACAAAUCACCAAAUUUUGGUUGAGUUUAUUUGUUUUCCUACCCAAACAAAUGACCUAAUUUUUUUUUUUUCAAAAGGAACCAAAUAAAAUAAACAAUAUUAACUCUUUUUAUAGACUAGUCUUUAUGAACCAAAUAAAUCCAACCAAUUCAACCCCUAACAUUUAUCGGAAUAACAAUUUACUUUUUUAGUUGACCUUGAGAGAAUCAUAAAAGACAUAAUCACAAAAAAAAAAAGCCACAAACCAAUUCACAUUCCUCUUCGAUAAAAAGGUUACCAACUUACCAUUAAUUAAUUAGAUGAUAGAUAAAAAUUAGGUUCACCAAAGUGGAACCUAAACAAUUCGUAAGGUCGUCUUUGUCAAAUCGCCACCUCUCACGCUUAACCAAUUGAAAAAAAUUUAGGUCAAACUCGCGUUUGUUCACACGCUUUUAAAACAACAACAAAUUUUUUUUUGGAAAAUUUCAACUUUGGACUAACUCGGAUCCAACCCCUGUUCUAAAAAUCCCCGCCUAGACCCGAUUACUCCCCGCUUAAUCGCUAGGCCCACCCUAUCCGCCUCGAUUAAUGACUAAUCCCUUAAAGAAAUCAGUCACCCGAUUACUCUCCGUCUAAUCCGAUUACUUCCCGCCUAAUCCGAUUAUUCCCCGCCUAAUCCGAUUAUUCCCCGCCUAAUCUUACAUACCCCGAUUAUUUUUUAAAUUGCUAGUAUAAAAAAACUUUUUAUUUUUGUUAUUCAAUCAUUUGAAUUGGGAGUUUGUAAUGUUUUACAAUAAUUUAUGUUCAAAUUUUAAUAAAAAUCAUAAAUUUGUAAUAAAAAUCAUAAAAUUUGUCUCAAAAAUACAUUUUUAUGUGUUUACUGCAAUUUUGAAAAUAAUAUUAGAUUAAUAUGUUUUAAAAAUAUUAAAAUAACCCUAAAACUAAUCCCCGAUUAAUCCCCGAUUUUAAUCCGAUUUUCCGAUUAAUCGCUAAGCCCAUGCCGAGCGCCCGACUAGCGCCUAGCGAUUUUUCAAACAAGGGAUCCAACUAGGAUUCUUCUCUUUCCUUAUCCAACACGGUCUUGUUUCGUCGCGUCUUUAUAAAAACUAAAACUCCUAUAUAAACAAAAAAAAACCAAACCUUUUUUUUUUUCUUAUUCAAUUGUUGUUCUUUUCACACAAAAAAACCAUCAAAGAUCUUUUCUUUUUUUUUUUCUUCAAUUCUUGUGACAAUAAUGAAUUCGAUGUUUAGUGCCUUUGACGCCAUGUGUGCAGAGAUUAUGGGAAAGAAAGUCACCGCUGCUUCUUAUGUCUACCGCUCUGAACGCAAUUCUGCUUCUUCUUCCGGCGGUGGUCAAAACGCGUCUUUGUCGCUCAAGAAUGAUGAAAAAGCUUCCAAGAACAUGGAUUUACCGACGAAGACACCGAGGUUUGCUCUUGAGCUUGAUGGACUUAAUUGCUUCGAGACUAUAGUUCGUUCUUGAUCAAUAUCAAGAUUACGAAUUUUUGCUGAGUUUUUUCUUUUGUUUUUUCUUGUUUUGAUUCCUUUUAUGUAAAUACAAUUUUGGAAAAUUCAAUUUUCUUGAUUACAAUCAUCAUCAUUAUGUGAUUGUUUAAUUUCGAAUUACUCGUGUUCUGCUUUAUAAAUUCAUGAAUUUGUAUAUAUAAUAUAAAGAAAAAGAAAAGAAUUUUUGUUUCUGUUGUUCAAGAAUCGAUUCUUCAAAUCAUGAAGGAUCAAACUUUGCAAGAAUUUAGGGUUUAUGAGGCAAAAAUUGGGGCUUAGAAUGUUAAACACGGAACAUCAGUCAUAAUCAGAACCUAUACUAAUGAUCUAUAAGAAGAAGAAGAAGCUGAAACUAUACAUUACAGAGAGAAUUUUAGAAACUUGUGUGCCAAAUUGCUCCAUCGCCUUCUCCACAACGUUGAUGUACUUCAAGCAUUCUAUCCACAGAUUUGCAGAUUCCGCUACAGCUCCAAUCGAACGAUGCUGCGCAAGGGUUUCCUGCUUGACCCUUCCACUCACAAUCUGCAUACAGAAUAAAAGUUACCAACUUGAUUCUUGAAUGUAAUCUCAAUUGCUUAUUUGAUGUGGUAUGAGCCAGGUUUUGUGUUUACCCAAGGGUGUUCCGCAGCAGAGGCUUCGAUCAUCGAUAUGUUCAACAUCGAGACCGAUGAACCAAGAACCUAAAGAGACGUCUUCAUUUGCAUACUUGUGAAGUAGUUGCCUGAAAAGAAGAAGGUGAAAUUGUGUUAACCAACCUGUUUAGGAUUUGAGAAGAGACUAUGUGAAACGAUUGUAAAGAAACCGAGCUGAGAGAGCUCACCGGUUUACUGAGAUAUAAGUUGCUAAAUCUUUGGAGAUGGCAUAGAUUUGUCCAGUUGCAUGUCUGAAGUAUUUGUUUCCUUCUUCACCAAACUUCCAAUAUUCUGGCUCAUGGUAUUUGACUCCUCUGCAACACAUUAUCCGGAAAAAAAGAGUCAACUACCUGUGUAAAAACAUGAUCUUGUGACAGACUUUGUUGCUUACUUUUGAGCAAGGACAGGUCCAGACUUCAUGCAACCAAUGUACACUCGCGGUUUUGAUCUGUGGCGUGCCAAUGUAGAACCAAGCAUCCCUGGAUGAUAAGUAAAGUUUCAUUUAGCUUUUCUUGGAACAGUAUUAAUAUGAUUUGAAAGACAUGAACUGACCGAGAUUUACGUGAACAUCAUCAUCCACUUUGAUGUAGAAGUCUGCAUCCCAUUUUGCAACAGCAGAUGAGAAGUAUAUUUGAGUUUUAGAUGAUAAUUCAUGAUAACCUUCUAUGUGGUUCUGCAAAAUUUUACUUUUGAUUAACUAACGGCAAAAGGACAGAGCAAUAUAAGCAUGUGGACAAGCGUAUUUACCAGGCGAAAGAAGUCCUUAUGUUGUUCUUCUUCAGCUUCAAUGGUGUGGUCCAAGACUCCUCCAGGAGAAGAACUAUUAAGAACAAUUGACAAUAUGUCAAUAUCAAAUAACAGUAAAUAUUUAGUCAAUGUUUCAAACCAAAGACAAUGUCAAAUUGUACCUGUGACCUAUGACAAAUCUCAUAAUGAUUCCCUUCUCUGUCUCUAGCCUUUUCAAUUCAUCCCCUGCAAAAGAAUGAACAAAGAAAAAAUCUUUUUAACACUUUUGUAACAUCUGCUAGGGAAAAAGAAGAGGUGGUUUGUUCUUGUUGAGAACCUUUAGGAAGCCAGGUUCCUCUUAUUGAGUCUCUUCGUUUUCUGCUACUGAAAGCAGUCAUGAUUCCCAUCACAAAGAACAUCCGAGGCCGAAUCUUCGAUUGGUCUGCUACUGAUUUUGCAACAGCUGGAGAUCCAUCUCUACCGUCAGAUCUUGCUGCUCGAGCUGAAGCUAGUUCUACUUCAAGAGAAGAAAUUGUCUUGUCCAAUGUCCUGUAGAUAAAAUGCAUACUCAAUAAAUCUACUGUAUAAAGCAAUCUCUCAUAUCAAAACAUGUCUCAGUGAGAUCAAGAAACGUACUUGAUAACAUCAUGAGUAUGCGAAACUCGAGAUAGAAUGUCUCCUUCCUGAUUAAAAGAAGCAUGCCAAACUAUGAUUAAAUGGACAAAACUUGGAACAAAUCAGGUAACGUUAACACACAAUGUCAUCUACUCUACCUUACUCUCACAAUCAAUAAGAGGAUGAAGUGACCUAGCUUGAUCAUUCGGCUCAGAUGAACCUUUCUCAAUGCCAUCUACGGUUUCAAAACUUGCCAAAAGCCUAAAGAAAGAAUAGAUGCAAAAUCAGAAGCUAGGACAUUAAAGUGUUAUACAUCAGCCUAAUGGCUUAAAAGCUCAAUAUAUAACUAGUUGGAUGGGUGAAGUAAAUUAACAAUUGAGUUUGUUUUAUCUUCUGAAAUUGUCUAACUGUGACAAAAGAUCAAGCUUCUUCUAGGCACUGAACGUCAGAACCAACGAAAAGCAAACUUGUAAUAAGAACUAAAAGCUACUAACACAAAAGAAGAAUCACAACAAAGAAAGAAAAAAACAUAAUCUUUUCAUUAGAGUAAGCCAGCUUUACGCAAAAUUCUGCAUAAGAAUGUUCCAGAUUCACCAAUGUGGAGACAGAUAUACAGUAGGAGGAACAAAGUUGCAAACUUUAAAACUACAUCUAAAGGAAAUCCCCUAAAUUUCAUCAACAGUAACAGUAACAGCAGAAUUAAAAAAAGCUGCUUCACAUGGAAACAAGAGUCAAGAUUCCACAGCAUUAGCAUUGAAGAAUCUAAAAGAUAGAGGCAGAGAGAGUGAGAAUUAAAGAACCUGUUAACAACAAGAACACCAAGAAGGAAGCUAGAAAUACAGAGAACAAAAACCCAUCUCGCUGAAACACCAGAAGUUGCAGAUUUCUGAUACCUUCCCAUUCCCAUUUUUUCUUAUUGAGAGAAGAGGAAAGCUAGUUUCUUUAUUUUUAAGGUUGUCUUAGCGAAAACAACAGGUGAACUCAUCAAAACGACAUCAUCGUCUUCCGUAAUUGAUUCCUCCUUUUCUUUCUUUUUAUCUUUUUUUUUCAUUACUCUCUGAAUUUUGCAGUAGACUAACUUUAAAAAAA